UACAGAGGUCCCAAGCGUUGUUCGGAUUCACUGGGCGUAAAGGGUGCGUAGGUGGUAGGGUAAGUCGGAUGUGAAAUCUCCGAGCUCAACUCGGAAAUGGCAUUGGAAACUGCUCUGCUCGAGGGUUGGAGGGGGGACUGGAAUGCUUGGUGUAGCAGUGAAAUGCAUAGAUAUCAAGCGGAACACCAGUGGCGAAGGCGAGUCCCUGGACAACUCCUGACACUGAUGCACGAAAGCUAGGGGAGCAAACAGG
rnacentral:rRNA from 1 species